CAGCCGCCGCGGUAAUACGGAGGGAGCUAGCGUUGUUCGGAAUUACUGGGCGUAAAGCGCACGUAGGCGGCUAUUCAAGUCAGAGGUGAAAGCCCGGGGCUCAACCCCGGAACUGCCUUUGAAACUAGAUAGCUUGAAUCCAGGAGAGGUGAGUGGAAUUCCGAGUGUAGAGGUGAAAUUCGUAGAUAUUCGGAAGAACACCAGUGGCGAAGGCGGCUCACUGGACUGGUAUUGACGCUGAGGUGCGAAAGCGUGGGGAGCAAACAGGAUUAGAUACCCGCGUAGUCCCUGUCUCUUAUAC
rnacentral:rRNA from 1 species